UACGAAGGGGGCUAGCGUUGCUCGGAAUCACUGGGCGUAAAGGGUGCGUAGGCGGGUUUUUAAGUCAGAGGUGAAAUCCUGGAGCUCAACUCCAGAACUGCCUUUGAUACUGGGAAUCUUGAGUAUGGAAGAGGUGAGUGGAAUUGCGAGUGUAGAGGUGAAAUUCGUAGAUAUUCGCAAGAACACCAGUGGCGAAGGCGGCUCACUGGUCCAUAACUGACGCUGAGGCACGAAAGCGUGGGGAGCAAACAGG
rnacentral:rRNA from 1 species